rnacentral:rRNA from 1 species
GGGUAACGGGGUGUUAGGGCACGACACCGGAGAGGGAGCCUGAGAAACGGCUACCACAUCCAAGGAAGGCAGCAGGCGCGCAAAUUACCCAAUCCCGACAUGGGGAGGUAGUGACAAUAAAUAACAAUACAGGGUUCUUUUGGAUCUUGUAAUUGGAAUGAGUACAAUUUAAAUCUCUUAACGAGGAACAAUUGGAGGGCAAGUCUGGUGCCAGCAGCCGCGGUAAUUCCAGCUCCAAUAGCGUAUAUUAAAGUUGUUGCAGUUAAAAAGCUCGUAGUUGAAUUUCGGGAUCAAGGAAUCGGUCAUGCCUUGGUAUGUACUGGUUUUAUUGGUUCUCACCUUCUAAAGAACCAUAAUGUCAUUUAUUUGAUGUUAUGGGGAAUUAGGACUGUUACCUUGAAAAAAUUAGAGUGUUUAAAGCAAGCUUACGCUUGAAUACAUUAGCAUGGGAUAAUGAAAUAGGACAUCCGAUUCUAUUUUGUUGGUUUCUAGGAUCGAUGUAAUGAUUAAUAGGGAUAGUUGGGGGCAUUAGUAUUCAAUUGUCAGAGGUGAAAUUCUUGGAUUUAUUGAAGACUAACUACUGCGAAAGCAUUUGCCAAGGAUGUUUUCAUUAAUCAAGAACGAAAGUUAGGGGAUCGAAGACGAUCAGAUACC